rnacentral:rRNA from 1 species
CCUUCCUUAAGCAACUAAGUUGCUGUGUUUAAAAGCUCGUAGUUGAAUUUCGGGUAUUUGUUGCUAGCUGGUCUUCGCGACCACGUUGGUUAACAGAUCCUCACUUGCUGGACGGCUGGCGAUGAUCUUUAUCGGUUGUCGUCAGUUGCCAGAACGUUUACUUUGAGAAAAUUAGAGUGCUAAAAGCAGGCUCACGCCUAUAUAGAUUGCAUGGAAUAAUGAAAUAAGAUCUCGAUUUUAUUUCGUUGGUUUUAGAAAUUGAGAUAAUGAUUAAUAGGAUCAGAGGGGGGCGUACGUACUGUGGUGUGAGAGGUGAAAUUCUUGGAUCGCCACAGGACGAACAGCAGCGAAGGCGUUCGCCAAGAAUGUUUUCAUUAAUCAAGAACGAAAGUUUGAGGUUCGAAGACGAUUAGAUACCGUCCUAGUUCAAACCAUAAACGUUGCCAACUGUCUUUUAGAUGCGGUUACAUUUAUGACUCAUCUGGCGGAUCUCGAGAAAUCUAAGUUUUUAGGUUCCGGGGGAAGUAUGGUUGCAAAGCUGAAACUUAAAAGAAUUGACGGAAGGACACACAAGAAGUGGAGCCUGUGGCCUAAUUUGACUCAACACGGGGAACCUUACUCGGCCAGGACACUUUUAGGAUUGACAGAUUGAGAGCUCUUUCUUGAUUAGGUGGGUGGUGGUGCAUGGUCGUUCGUAGUUCGUGGAGCGAUUUGUCUGAUUAAUUUCGAUAACGAACGAGACUCCGGCUUACUAAAUAGUCUAAAGUUCGCAGGGACUUUCCAAGACUUCUUAGCAGGAUAAGUGGCACUUUUUAAGCCACACGAAAUGGAGCAAUAACAGUCAGAUGGCCCCUCUCGAGAAA